rnacentral:rRNA from 1 species
UAAUACAUGCAAGUCGAGCGAAUCGAUGGGAGCUUGCUCCCUGAGAUUAGCGGCGGACGGGUGAGUAACACGUGGGCAACCUGCCUAUAAGACUGGGAUAACUUCGGGAAACCGGAGCUAAUACCGGAUACGUUCUUUUCUCGCAUGAGAGAAGAUGGAAAGACGGUUUCGGCUGUCACUUAUAGAUGGGCCCGCGGCGCAUUAGCUAGUUGGUGAGGUAAUGGCUCACCAAGGCGACGAUGCGUAGCCGACCUGAGAGGGUGAUCGGCCACACUGGGACUGAGACACGGCCCAGACUCCUACGGGAGGCAGCAGUAGGGAAUCUUCCGCAAUGGACGAAAGUCUGACGGAGCAACGCCGCGUGAACGAAGAAGGCCUUCGGGUCGUAAAGUUCUGUUGUUAGGGAAGAACAAGUACCAGAGUAACUGCUGGUACCUUGACGGUACCUAACCAGAAAGCCACGGCUAACUACGUGCCAGCAGCCGCGGUAAUACGUAGGUGGCAAGCGUUGUCCGGAAUUAUUGGGCGUAAAGCGCGCGCAGGUGGUUCCUUAAGUCUGAUGUGAAAGCCCACGGCUCAACCGUGGAGGGUCAUUGGAAACUGGGGAACUUGAGUNCNGAAGAGGAAAGUGGAAUUCCAAGUGUAGCGGUGAAAUGCGUAGAGAUUUGGAGGAACACCAGUGGCGAAGGCGACUUUCUGGUCUGUAACUGACACUGAGGCGCGAAAGCGUGGGGAGCAAACAGGAUUAGAUAC